GACGAACGCUGGCGGCGUGCUUAACACAUGCAAGUCGAACGGAAAGGCCCUGCUUUUGUUUGUUUCUCGUUUGGCGAACGGGUGAGUAACACGUGAGGAACAUCUCCUUGUCUUUGUGAGAUCUUCUCGGAACAGGGGCUCUUACCGCAUAGGAUCUUCUGCUGCACAGUGGUGGUUGGUAAGAUUCGGCGGUUGGGGAUGGACUCGCGGGUUAUCAGCUUGUUGGUGGGGUAGUGGCUUACCAAGGCUUUGACGGGUAGCCGGCCUGAGAGGGUGACCGGCCACAUUGGGACUGAGAUACGGCCCAGACUCCUACGGGAGGCAGCAGUGGGGAAUAUUGCACAAUGGGCGGAAGCCUGAUGCAGCAACGCCGCGUGCGGGAUGACGGCCUUCGGGUUGUAAACCGCUUUCGCCUGUGACGAAGCGUGAGUGACGGUAAUGGGUAAAGAAGCACCGGCUAACUACGUG
rnacentral:rRNA from 1 species